rnacentral:rRNA from 1 species
UACGAAGGGGGCUAGCGUUGCUCGGAAUCACUGGGCGUAAAGGGUGCGUAGGCGGGUUUUUAAGUCAGAGGUGAAAUCCUGGAGCUCAACUCCAGAACUGCCUUUGAUACUGAAAGUCUUGAGUAUGGGAGAGGUGAGUGGAACUGCGAGUGUAGAGGUGAAAAUUCGUAGAUAUCGCAAGAACACCAGUGGCGAAGGCGGCU